GACGUAGGGCGCGAGCGUUGUCCGGAUUUAUUGGGCGUAAAGAGCUCGUAGGCGGCUUGUUGCGUCGACUGUGAAAACCUGCGGCUCAACCGUGUGGUCUGCAGUCGAUACGGGCAGGCUGGAGUUCGGUAGGGGAGACUGGAAUUCCUGGUGUAGCGGUGAAAUGCGCAGAUAUCAGGAGGAACACCGGUGGCGAAAGCACUCUGCUGGGCCGACACUGACACUGAGAGACGAAAGCUAGGGGAGCGAAUGGG
rnacentral:rRNA from 1 species